rnacentral:rRNA from 1 species
GAGUUUGAUCCUGGCUCAGGACAAACGCUGGCGGGGUGCAUGAGACAUGCAAGUCGAACGGGGUUGAGCGGGCUUGCUCGAUCAACCUAGUGGCGGACGGCUGAGUAACGCGUAGGUGACCUACCCGGAAGUGGGGAAUAACUGCCCGAAAGGGUGGCUAAUACCGCAUGUGGUCGGCGAUUCGGUUCGCCGUGCAAAGCCGCAAGGCGCUUCCGGAGGGGCCUGCGUCCGAUUAGCUAGUUGGUGGGGUAAUGGCUCACCAAGGCGACGAUCGGUAGCUGGUCUGAGAGGAUGAUCAGCCAGACUGGGACUGAGAACGGCCCAGACUCCUACGGGAGGCAGCAGUCGGGAAUUUUGCCCAAUGGACGAAAGUCUGAGGCAGCAACUCCGCGUGAGGGACGAAGGCCUUCGGGUCGGUAAACCUCUUUUCUUCAGGGAAGAUACAAGACGGUACCUGAGGAAUAAGCCACGGCUAACUACGUGCCAACAG